AUUCCCAUUCGUGAGUUCAAGAGGAGAGGAGAGAGAGUGAAUUCAUCUUCUUCACCAAUCUUCAAGAUCCAUAGCCAAAUUUCCUUCUCAACUCUCAAUUUGUUCGGAUUUAAGGUGAAAUUUGGGGAAAAUCAUCCAAGAUCACUUCUAAGGAAUUGUUGACCACUUUGAGAGAAGUAAACAGAAUAAUUUUUUUUUGUUUUCUUUACCCCUCAUUUCUUGUUGGAGCUCAUAUUCACCUUGCUGUUGCCGUGGAUGGGUUUGGCUAGUUAUUUCAUGUUGUCUUUAUCAUAUAUUUUGAAGGUCAGUUUGAAUUUAUAUUCUGUCUCUUUUGGAUAUUCGCGUAUUGUUCUUUGUAAUAUAUGCAGUUAUAGAUUAUAUACAUUUUUUGUCAUGUGCAAGAUAUAUGUCAGAAAUAUUUGUAUAUGUAGAUUCCUAAUGUAAAGAUGUAUUUUAGUAUACAUUAAAUUAAUAAUAACGAUAUGGAAAAGGUUCUUCCUCUA